UACGUAGGGUGCGAGCGUUGUCCGGAAUUAUUGGGCGGAAAGGGCUCGUAGGCGGUUUGUCGCGUCGGGAGUGAAAUCCACUGGCUUAACUGGUGGCUUGCUUUCGAUACGGGCAGACUGGAGGUAUGCAGGGGAGAACGGAAUUCCUGGUGUAGCGGUGAAAUGCGCAGAUAUCAGGAGGAACACCGGUGGCGAAGGCGGGUCUCUGGGCCGAUACUGACGCUGAGGAGCGAAAGCGUGGGGAGCGAACAGG
rnacentral:rRNA from 1 species